AUUGAACGCUGGCGGCAGGCUUAACACAUGCAAGUCGAGCGGUAACAGAGAGAAGCUUGCUUCUCUGCUGACGAGCGGCGGACGGGUGAGUAAUGCCUAGGAAUCUGCCUAGUAGUGGGGGAUAACUUGCCGAAAGGUAAGCUAAUACCGCAUCCGUCCUACGGGAGAAAGGAGGGGCCCUUCGGGCCUUUCGCUAUUAGAUGAGCCUAGGUCGGAUUAGUUAGUUGGUGAGGUAAUGGCUCACCAAGACCGCGAUCCGUAACUGGUCUGAGAGGAUGAUCAGUCACACUGGAACUGAGACACGGUCCAGACUCCUACGGGAGGCAGCAGUGGGGAAUAUUGGACAAUGGGGGGAACCCUGAUCCAGCCAUGCCGCGUGUGUGAAGAAGGUCUUAGGAUUGUAAAGCACUUUAAGUUGGGAGGAAGAGCAGUUAACUAAUAUUUGACUGUUUUGACGUUACCGACAGAAUAAGCACCGGCUAACUUCGUGCCAGCCGCCGCGGUAA
rnacentral:rRNA from 1 species